UACGAGUGCCUCAAGCGUUAUCCGGAAUUAUUGGGCGUAAAGGUUGUGUAGGUGGUUGUAUUAGUCUCUUGUUAAAUUCUUCGGCUUAACCGGGGGCAUGCAAGGGAAACGGUACGACUAGAGGAUGCGAGGGGUUUCUGGAACUCAUAGUGUAGCGGUGAAAUGCGUUGAUAUUAUGGGGAACACCAAAAGCGAAGGCAAGAAACUGGAGCACUCCUGACACUGAAACAAGAAAGCGUGGGUCGCGAAUGGG
rnacentral:rRNA from 1 species